GGGCCCGUAGCUCAGCCAGGCAGAGCGGCGGGCUCCAGACCCGUAGGUCGGGGGUUCGAGUCCCCCCGGGCCCACCA
rnacentral:tRNA from 1 species